ensembl:snRNA U6 U6 spliceosomal RNA
GUGCUAACGUUGGCAGCACAUACACUAAAAUUGGAAUGAUACAGAGAUUAGCAUAGCCCCUGUGCAAGGAUGACAUGCACAUUUGUGAAGUGAAAGUAAAACAUUCUA